rnacentral:rRNA from 1 species
AGUAAUGUCUGGGAAACUGCCUGAUGGAGGGGGAUAACUACUGGAAACGGUAGCUAAUACCGCAUAANGUCGCAAGACCAAAGAGGGGGACCUUCGGGCCUCUUGCCAUCGGAUGUGCCCAGAUGGGAUUAGCUAGUAGGUGGGGUAACGGCUCACCUAGGCGACGAUCCCUAGCUGGUCUGAGAGGAUGACCAGCCACACUGGAACUGAGACACGGUCCAGACUCCUACGGGAGGCAGCAGUGGGGAAUAUUGCACAAUGGGCGCAAGCCUGAUGCAGCCAUGCCGCGUGUAUGAAGAAGGCCUUCGGGUUGUAAAGUACUUUCAGCGGGGAGGAAGGCGAUAAGGUUAAUAACCUUGUCGAUUGACGUUACCCGCAGAAGAAGCACCGGCUAACUCCGUGCCAGCAGCCGCGGUAAUACGGAGGGUGCAAGCGUUAAUCGGAAUUACUGGGCGUAAAGCGCACGCAGGCGGUCUGUCAAGUCGGAUGUGAAAUCCCCGGG